GGGGAGGGCUUAGUCGACGGAUCUGCCUCUGGGGAGACUGGUAGCCUUAGACCCAGGAGGCGACUUCUGCGGUGGACACCCCGGCUUCCGGAGGAGAGGGAAGGAGGGCGGCGGGCCUGCGGCUCAGGAGUGAGGCACAAUGGAAUCUGGCUUCACCACCAAGGACACUUAUCUGAGCCAUUUUAAUUCCCAUGAUUAGCUAGAACAAUAUUACAACUUUGGGUCCAGACAAUCUGCAGGAAACCAGAUUGUUGGCCACUUUGUGAAAAAUCUCUUCAAGAUAUUCUGCCUGGGGACGGAUGGAACAUUUACCUCAGCGGAGCCUCUGACUUACCACGGCAGCCCUCUGCCUAAGGAGAUGAGAGCACAUGACCUUCAGAGUGGAACAGGAUGGGAGCUGGACCUAGGAAGGAGGCACCAGGAACAGAACUGAGCUCCACCUGCUCCACAGGGACGUAAAUCUCAGCACUGACAAGUCUCAAAACUUGAAAGGAAAUAGUUGUGACAGGAAAAUUUUUAUACACAGUCCAGCUUUUUUAUGUGAAAAGAUAAUUCUCAGAUAUAUAAAUUUCAGGAAAAAAAAGAAUUCAUGAACUCCUCUCUUAAAAAUAAUUUGAAGACGUCCUAGAUAUCACCAAGAGAUUAAGCAAAAAAGAGUUUGGAAAGAGAGAAGCAUGAAAGAACUGACAUAGGGACAGUACCAAGUUAAAAUAGAGAUAAGUUUAAAUGAUUGAUAACCUGAAAAGAAUUAGUCUUCAUUUGUAUUGUAAAAAGCAAUAAUGUAAUAUGUAUAAUCUGGGACUAAAUCCCCAGAAGAUAUUAAUAAAGCCUUGGAGAUAUGGU
rnacentral:lncRNA from 1 species